AUUGAACGCUGGCGGCAGGCCUAACACAUGCAAGUCGAGCGAGCGGCGGACGGGUGAGUAAUGUAUGGGGACUGCCCGAUAGAGGGGGAUAACGACGGGAAACGGUAGCUAAUACCGCAAACUAUCGGAUAACCCAUAUGGGAUUAGCUAGUAGGUGAGGUAAUGGCUCACCUAGGCGACCAUCCCUAGCUGGUCUGAGAGGAUGAUCAGCCACUCUGGAACUGAGACACGGCCCAGACUCCGACGGAGGCAGCAGUGGGGAAUAUUGCGCAAUUGGCGCAAGCCUGAGGCAGCCAUGCCGCGUGUAUGAAGACGGCCCUCGGGUUGUAAAGUACUUUCAGUCGGGAGGCGUUACCGACCUAAGAAGCACCGGCUAACUCCGUGCCAGCAGCCGCGGUAAUAC
rnacentral:rRNA from 1 species